rnacentral:rRNA from 1 species
AGUGAACGCUGGCGGUAGGCCUAACACAUGCAAGUCGAACGGCAGCACAGUAAGAGCUUGCUCUUACGGGUGGCGAGUGGCGGACGGGUGAGGAAUACAUCGGAAUCUACUUUUUCGUGGGGGAUAACGUAGGGAAACUUACGCUAAUACCGCAUACGACCUACGGGUGAAAGCAGGGGAUCUUCGGACCUUGCGCGAUUGAAUGAGCCGAUGUCGGGUUAGCUAGUGGGCGGGGUAAAGGCCCACCAAGGCGACGAUCCGUAGCUGGUCUGAGAGGAUGAUCGGCCACACUGGAACUGGGACACGGUCCAGACUCCUACGGGAGGCAGCAGUGUGGAAUAUUGGACAAUGGGCGCAAGCCUGAUCCAGCCAUACCGCGUGGGUGAAGAAGGCCUUCGGGUUGUAAAGCCCUUUUGUUGGGAAAGAAAAGCAGCAGGUUAAUACCCCGCUGUUCUGACGGUACCCAAAGAAUAAGCACCGGCUAACUUCGUG